UACGAAGGGUGCAAGCGUUGUUCGGAAUUAUUGGGCGUAAAGGGUUCGUAGGCGGGGUUGUAAGUCAAGUGUGAAAUCCCCGAGCUUAACUCGGGACGUGCAUUUGAAACUCCAAUUCUUGAGUCACAGAGAGGGUAAUGGAAUUGUUGGUGUAGGAGUGACAUCCGUAGAGAUCAACAGGAACAUCAGAGGCGUAAGCGGUUACCUGGCUGUGCACUGACGCUGAGGAACGAAAGUGUGGGGAGCAAACAGG
rnacentral:rRNA from 1 species